AUACGGAGGGUGCGAGCGUUAAUCGGAAUUACUGGGCGUAAAGCGUGCGUAGGCGGUUUGUUAAGUCAGAAGUGAAAGCCCUGGGCUCAACCUGGGAACGGCUUUUGAGACUGGCAGACUAGAGUUGAGUAGAGGGGAGUGGAAUUUCCGGUGUAGCGGUGAAAUGCGUAGAGAUCGGAAGGAACACCAGUGGCGAAGGCGACUCCCUGGACUCAAACUGACGCUGAGGUACGAAAGCGUGGGCAGCAAACAGGAUUAGAAACCCUAGUAGUCC
rnacentral:rRNA from 1 species